rnacentral:rRNA from 1 species
UAUGUGAUCGUCUCUCGCAUAUCAAUAAGCGGAGGAAAAGAAACUAACAAGGAUUCCCCUAGUAACGGCGAGUGAAGCGGGAAGAGCUCAAAUUUGAAAUCUUAAAGGGUUUCCCUUUACGAAUUGUAGUUUAAAGAAGUGUUUUCUGUUGAGGUUUUGGUAAAAGUUCUUUGGAAUAGGACAUCAUAGAGGGUGAGAAUCCCGUAUUUGACCUUUACUUUCAACUUUGUGAUACACUUUCAAAGAGUCGGAUUGUUUGGGAAUGCAGUCCAAAAUGGGUGGUAAAUUUCAUCUAAAGCUAAAUAUUGGCGAGAGACCGAUAGCGAACAAGUACCGUGAGGGAAAGAUGAAAAGAACUUUGAAAAGAGAGUUAAACAGUACGUGAAAUUGUCAAAAGGGAAGCGUUUGACACCAGUGUUGUUUUUCUGAAAAUCAAUUAAAGAACUGUUUAUGCUAAGUUGUUUAGACUUUAUCAGCUAACUGUUUAGUUUUGAGCUUUUCUUUAAUGCACUCUUCAGUUAACAAGUCAACAUCAAUUUCUUUUGCUGUAAAAAAGCUUGAGGAAGGUGGCUUGAGAUUCGUCUUAAGUGUUUAUAGCCUCUUGCCUAUGCAGUCGGAGAGAUUGAGGUCUGCCAGCGUAGAUCCUUCGGGGCUAAAUGCAUUUGUGCUAAGUUAUAGCAUUUUAUAGACAACUUGUUGACUAUGAUUUGUCUUGUAGCUUACUCGCUUAUGUUAUUUUACCUACGCUUAGGAUGUUGAAGACUCUACAGAGAUA